CCUACGGGAGGCAGCAGUGAGGACUAUUGGUCAAUGGGCGGGAGCCUGAACCAGCCAAGCCGCGUGAGGGAAGAAGGUACAGCGUAUCGUAAACCUCUUUUGUCAGGGAACAAAGGCGGGGACUAGUCCCCGGAUGAGGGUACCUGAAGAAAAAGCAUCGGCUAACUCCGUGCCAGCAGCCGCGGUAAUACGGAGGAUGCGAGCGUUAUCCGGAUUUAUGGGGUUUAAAGGGUGCGCAGGCGGCCUGUUAAGUCAGCGGUAAAAGCCCGGGGCUCAACCCCGGCCAGCCGUUGACACUGGCGGGCUGGAGUUGGAGAGAAGUACGCGGAAUGCGCGGUGUAGCGGUGAAAUGCUUAGAUAUCGCGCAGAACCCCGAUUGCGAAGGCAGCGUACCGGCUCCACACUGACGCUGAGGCACGAAAGCGUGGGUAUCGAACAGGAUUAGAUACCCGGGUAGUC
rnacentral:rRNA from 1 species